UUUAAUCAUUGUACUGAUCUGAGGAUUGAAAGCAAUAUUCUUCCAUUUCAACUUGGCCCGUGGAAGAGACAGCAGUGUGCAAUUCCGUUCGUUAAAUCUCGAGUAUUCUAAAAGUGAGCACACUUAGCUCAAUUUAAAUUCAAGAUUUUAAAUUCCUAAUUAUCCCUCCAGUGGAUUGAGCAAAAAUAUUUGGAGGUAGCUCCACUUCUGACCCCACGACUUCGUUGGAAUUGGCCCUCUCCGUCAACACGAGGGCCCCAUCAAUUCUCGCGCUCCCGGCGGCUCAUCAUCCAGCGGAAGUUCAUCGUUCGUUUUAUCAUCCCUUAUUUAACCAGAUACACACUACAACUUGGCGCAGCUUUGUCGACACCACACCGAAUGGGUUAUUUGAACUGAUUAAGAACUGAAGAUUACCUACGAAUUAGAAAAUCAUUGUGAUUCAUGUGAAAUUGACGUUAAUUUUGUAAAGGAGUAAGAGUUUUUCCAUCUGAUUCUAUAGUUAUGAAACACUGGAAUUUCAGUUUUCUGAAUGUUUCGCGCCUGGACACAACAAUAAAGUUUAAAUGGCCAGUUUUAUAAAUGAAGAUAGCUAUUAUCCCCUAUACCAGGGGCGGCCAAACUUUUGUGCAUUACGGGCGACUAAUUGUUUAAAUGUUAUGCGGGCGCUACACGAUUCGUCCAACGUUUCACUCGAACGUUGGACUCAAACAUUUGACUCGAUGAAUCGACAACACGGUGAAGUGAAUGUUCGAUUCAAUGCAAUCGGUCCAAAAAAUCGGCGAGUAUUUGGAUCGAAUGUUUAUUGUUUUUAUUUAUCAUCAAAAACGUUAGGAAACUGGAUGACGAUGCGAGUAUUGAAAUUGCUGCCGUAGUAAUUGUACUAAUAUCGGGCUGUAAAUUAGAAAUGCUCGAAUGCAUUUCAUAUAGCGAAUUCCUUUUUAAAACUGAGUCAGUGCCAAACUGACUCUGUAAUAAAAAAACGUUUUCAGUUUCACGAAUGCGGUGAUUUGUUGGUGUGCGUUAUAUAGUCUGAUUUGUUUAUAUUUACGACGGUAAAUGUACAGUGUCGACGUCUGGUGGUGAUAUUAGUGCUUGGGAGGUAAGUUGUUCUCCAUCAGAUCAGAAGGGCCAAGUGCAGUGUAAACAUAUAAAAGUUUGAAUGAAAAUUUCUACUUAAUAUUGUUUGAUUACCUAACACAUGUAGUUCUGACACUCACUUAACCAUUUGUCGAUGCAUUUCCUGUUUGUUCCACAAAUAAUUACUAUUAUAAUAUAAAACCAUCAUUAGACACAGUUUUCGUUCAAUAUUCUGCGAUAUCGGAAAAAAACUUUUAUUUAAUCACAUAAAAUAAAUAUUCGAUACGUUAAAGUAAAUUUUCAUUCAUAUUUUUGAUUUUGAAAUGUAUUCCACCUGAAUAUCCAUCAUUAUUUUCACCUCCCUACUCUACUCUUCAAAAUCAGAAUCCGAAUUGGAUUACGAUUCCAAUAAUACAAAAGCAAAAGCAGCAGGUUUUCCAUUUUCAUAGUCUUUAUUUUUAGAUUUUCCAAAACAAUAUUCGGAACUUGACAGUUCAGUAUAGUUGUAUUGGUGAGCCCGAGUGCCAACCCGUGAAACAUCUCAGUGCGAAACUAACAGCUUUCGGGGCGAACUAGUGCGACACUGAGUGCGAAACUGAGUGAAUAAAAAAACGUUUUGACAGCAGUUAGUGCGGCACUGGGGUUGAAACUGAACAAAAACGAAUUUGCUAAUAGUCCUUCAUCUAAAACUUGUAAACAAACCAAUCUGUCAAAGGUAGAUUCGGACGAAUCGUGUAGCGCUGUAUCGAAUGUCAUCGAGUGUCGAAUCAACGAAUGACAAAAAUCCUUUGACUCGUGCCACUCGCGUUGGAAGGUAAUCCACAACGAACGGAUUACCUUCCAACGCGAAUAUUCGACACUCGACAUUGGAGGUUCGUAGCUCGUCAGUCGACUACACGAUGCGUCGAAUCAUCGAGCGUCCAGCAUUCGAGGGUGUUCGUAGCAUCGUGUAGCGCUGGCUUUAGGAUGCGAUCCAACGUCGAAUGUAUCAAAAAUACAUUAAAAAUUGAAUAAAUAAAUAAAACAAAGU